GAUGAAGAACGUAGUGAAAUGCGAUAAUUAAUGUGAAUUGCAGAAUUCAGUGAAUCAUCGAGUCUUUUAACGCACAUUGCGCCCCCUGGUAUUCCGGGGGGCAUGCCUGUCCGAGCGUCAUUGCUGCCCUCAAGCACGGCUUGUGUGUUGGGCUUCCGUCCCUGGCAACGGGGACGGGCCCAAAAGGCAGUGGCGGCACCAUGUCUGGUCCUCGAGCGUAUGGGGCUUUGUCACCCGCUCCCGUAGGUCCAGCUGGCAGCUAGCCUCGCAACCAAUCUUUUUAACCAGGUUGACCUCGGAUCAGGUAGGGAUACCCGCUGAACUUAAGCAUAUCAAUAAGCGGAGGA
rnacentral:misc_RNA from 1 species